GGUUUUCGGAUCGUAAACUCUGUUGUUAGGGAAGAACAAGUCAGGUAGUAACUGGCCUGACCUUGACGGUACCUAACCAGAAAGCCACGGCUAACUACGUGCCAGCAGCCGCGGUAAUACGUAGGUGGCAAGCGUUGUCCGGAUUUAUUGGGCGUAAAGCGCUCGCAGGCGGUCUUUUAAGUCUGAUGUGAAAGCCCACGGCUUAACCGUGGAGGGUCAUUGGAAACUGGAGGACUUGAGUGCAGAAGAGGAGAGUGGAAUUCCAUGUGUAGCGGUGAAAUGCGUAGAGAUAUGGAGGAACACCAGUGGCGAAGGCGACUCUCUGGUCUGUAACUGACGCUGAGGAGCGAAAGCGUGGGUAGCGAACAGGAUUAGAUACCCUGGUAGUCCACGCCGUAAACGAUGAGUGCUAGGUGUUAGGGGGUUUCCGCCCCUUAGUGCUGAAGUUAACGCAUUAAGCACUCCGCCUGGGGAGUACGGCCGCAAGGCUGAAACUCAAAAGAAUUGACGGGGACCCGCACAAGCGGUGGAGCAUGUGGUUUAAUUCGAAGCAACGCGAAGAACCUUACCAGGUCUUGACAUCCUUUCGACCUCCCUAGAGAUAGGGAUUUCCCUUCGGGGACGAAAGUGACAGGUGGUGCAUGGUUGUCGUCAGCUCGUGUCGUGAGAUGUUGGGUUAAGUCCCGCAACGAGCGCAACCCUUGA
rnacentral:rRNA from 1 species